AGGGUUUGAUUAUGGCUCAGGAUGAACGCUAGCUACAGGCUUAACACAUGCAAGUCGAGGGGAAACGACAUUGGAAGCUUGCUUCCGAUGGGCGUCGACCGGCGCACGGGUGAGUAACGCGUAUCCAACCUGCCCACCACUUGGGGAUAACCUUGCGAAAGUAAGACUAAUACCCAAUGACGUCCAUAGAAGACAUCUGAAGUGGAUUAAAGAUUUAUCGGUGAUGGAUGGGGAUGCGUCUGAUUAGCUUGUUGGCGGGGUAACGGCCCACCAAGGCGACGAUCAGUAGGGGUUCUGAGAGGAAGGUCCCCCACAUUGGAACUGAGACACGGUCCAA
rnacentral:rRNA from 1 species